rnacentral:tRNA from 1 species
GGUAAUGUGGCUUAGUGGUAGAGUGCUUGCCUAGCAUGCAUGAAGCCCUGGGUUCGAUUCCUUAGUACCA